GCUCCCAUAGCUCAAUCGGAUAGAGCAGCGGUCUUCUAAACCGCAGGUUACUGGUUCGAACCCAGUUGGGAGCA
rnacentral:tRNA from 1 species